UACGGGAGGCAGCAGUGGGGAAUAUUGCACAAUGGGCGCAAGCCUGAUGCAGCCAUGCCGCGUGUAUGAAGAAGGCCUUCGGGUUGUAAAGUACUUUCAGUCGUGAGGAAGGUGUUAAGGUUAAUAACCUUAGCAAUUGACGUUAGCGACAGAAGAAGCACCGGCUAACUCCGUGCCAGCAGCCGCGGUAAUACGGAGGGUGCGAGCGUUAAUCGGAAUUACUGGGCGUAAAGGGCACGCAGGCGGUUAAUUAAGUUGGAUGUGAAAUCCCCGGGCUUAACCUGGGAAUGGCAUUCAAGACUGGUUAGCUAGAGUCUUGUAGAGGGGGUAGAAUUCCAUGUGUAGCGGUGAAAUGCGUAGAGAUGUGGAGGAAUACCGGUGGCGAAGGCGGCCCCUGGGACAAAGACUGACGCUCAUGUGCGAAAGCGUGGGGAGCA
rnacentral:rRNA from 1 species